GUGGGGAAUCUUCCGCAAUGGACGAAAGUCUGACGGAGCGACGCCGCGUGAGUGAAGAAGGCCUUCGGGUCGUAAAGCUCUGUCAUCAGGGACGAACGGCCGGUGGAGUGGAAAGCCACCGGAUUGACGGUACCUGAGAAGGAAGCCACGGCUAACUACGUGCCAGCAGCCGCGGUAAUACGUAGGUGGCAAGCGUUGUCCGGAAUUAUUGGGCGUAAAGCGCGCGCAGGUGGGAUCUUAAGUCCAUUUUGAAAGUUCGGAGCUCAACUCCGUGAGGGGAUGGAAACUGGGAUUCUUGAGUACCGGAGAGGAAAGCGGAAUUCCCCGUGUAGCGGUGAAAUGCGUAGAUAUGGGGAGGAACACCAGUGGCGAAGGCGGCUUUCUGGACGGUGUCUGACACUGAGGCGCGAAAGCCAGGGGAGCGAACGGGAUUAGAAACCCGGAGUAGUCC
rnacentral:rRNA from 1 species